rfam:Gorilla gorilla gorilla genomic chromosome, chr19, whole genome shotgun sequence
GCUGUGGUGGGCACAUGACUGUAGUACCAGCUACUUGGGAGGCUGAGGCAAGAGGAUUGCCUGAGUCCAAGAGUUCUGGGCUAUAGUGUGCUAUGCUGAUUGGGUGUCUGCACUAAGUGUGGCCACAAUAUGGUGACCUCCUAGGAGUGGGGGACCACCAGUUUGCCUAAGGAGGGGUGAACUGGCCCAGUUUGGAAAUGGAGCAGGUCAAAACUCCCGUGCUGAUCAAUAGUGGGAUUGCACUUGUGAAUAGCCACUGCACUGCAGCCUGGGCAACAUAGUGAGAUCCCAUCUCUU